UACGGGGGGGCAAGCGUUGUUCGGAAUUACUGGCGUAAAGGGCUCGUAGGCGGCCAACUAAGUCCGACGUGAAAUCCCCAGGCUUAACCUGGAACUGCGUCGGAUACUGGAUGGCUUGAAUUCGGGAGAGGAUGCAGAAUUCCAGGUGUAGCGGUGAAAUGCGUAGAUAUCUGGAGGAAUACCGGUGGCGAAGGCGGCAUCCUGGACCGACAUUGACGCUGAUGAGCGAAAGCUAGGGAGCAAACGGG
rnacentral:rRNA from 1 species